GAUGAAGAACGCAGCGAAAUGCGAUACGUAAUGUGAAUUGCAGAAUUCAGUGAAUCAUCGAGUCUUUGAACGCACAUUGCGCCCCCUGGUAUUCCGGGGGGCAUGCCUGUCCGAGCGUCAUUGCUGCCCUCAAGCACGGCUUGUGUGUUGGGCCUCCGUCCUCCUCCCGGGGGACGGGCCCGAAAGGCAGCGGCGGCACCGCGUCCGGUCCUCGAGCGUAUGGGGCUUCGUCACCCGCUCUUGUAGGCCCGGCCGGCGCUUGCCGACACAUCAAUCUUUUUUCCAGGUUACCUCGGAUCAGGUAGGGAUACCCGCUGAACUUAAGCAUAUCAAUAAGCGGAGGA
rnacentral:misc_RNA from 1 species